GCGAACGACUAUAAUUGUACAUCG
rnacentral:siRNA from 1 species